UAACUACGUGCCAGCAGCCGCGGUAAUACGUAGGUGGCGAACGUUAUCCGGAAUCACUGGGCGUAAAGGGUCCGCAGGUGGUUUGAAAGGUCUGGCGUGAAAUCAUCUGGCUCAACCAGAUGUCGCCGUCGGAAACCAUUAAACUAGGUUCACGCAGAGGUCGGUGGAAUUCCCGGUGUAAUGGUGGAAUGCGUAGAUAUCGGGAGGAACCCCAAAAGCGAAGGCAGCCGGCUGGGCGAUGAACGACACUGAGGGACGAAAGCGUAGGUAGCGAACAGGAUUAGAUACCCUGGUAGUCUACGCCGUAAACGAUGUGUGCUCGGUGUGUGUUUGUAAAAGGAUGCGCGCCCAAGUAACGCGUUAAGCACACCGCCUGGGGAGUACGGCCGCAAGGCUAAAACUCAAAGGAAUUGACGGGGGCCCGCACAAGCAGCGGAGCGUGUGGUUUAAUUCGAUGCAACGCGAAGAACCUUACCUGGGUUU
rnacentral:rRNA from 1 species